UACAGAGACUGCAAGCGUUAUUCGGAUUCACUGGGCGUAAAGGGUGCGCAGGCGGCCAUGUGUGUUAGGUGUGAAAGCCCGGGGCUUAACCUCGGAAUUGCGCCUAAAACUACACGGCUAGAGCAUUGGAGAGGGUAGCGGAAUUCACGGUGUAGCAGUGAAAUGCGUAGAUAUCGUGAGGAACACCAGAGGCGAAGGCGGCUACCUGGACAAUUGCUGACGCUAAGGCACGAAAGCGUGGGGAGCAAAAGGG
rnacentral:rRNA from 1 species